rnacentral:rRNA from 1 species
UACGGGGGGAGCAAGCGUUGUUCGGAUUUACUGGGCGUAAAGGGCGCGUAGGCGGCGUGACAAGUCACUUGUGAAAUCUCCGGGCUUAACCCGGAGCGGCCAAGUGAUACUGUCGUGCUAGAGUGCGGAAGGGGCUACUGGAAUUCUCGGUGUAGCGGUGAAAUGCGUAGAUAUCGGAAGGAACGCCGGUGGCGAAAGCGACGUGCUGGACCCUUUCUGACGCUGAGGCGCGAAAGCCAGGGGAGCAAACGGG